rnacentral:piRNA from 1 species
UNUGAUUGCUGGGUAAGACUCUGUGACUC